rnacentral:rRNA from 1 species
ACUCCUACGGGAGGCAGCAGUAGGGAAUUUUCCGCAAUGGACGAAAGUCUGACGGAGCAAUGCCGCGUGAGGUGAUGAAGGUUUUCGAAUCGUAAAGCUCUGUUGUAAGGGAAGAAUACGAGAUAGAAAUGAUCUUGNCUACGGUACCUUACCAGAAAGCCNACGGCUAAUGACGUGCCAGCAGCCGCGGUAAUACGUAGGUGGCAAGCGUUAUCCGGAAUUAUUGGGCGUAAAGCGCAUGUAGGCGGCUUUUUAAGUCUGAUGUGAAAGCCAGUGGCUCAACCACUGAAUUGCAUUGGAUACUGGAAAGCUAGAAUCUUGGAGAGGUAAGUGGAAUUUCAUGUGUAGCGGUGGAAUGCGUAGAUAUAUGAAGGAACACCAAUGGCGAAGGCAGCUUACUGGACAAGUAUUGACGCUGAGAUGCGAAAGUGUGGUAGCAAACAGGAUUAGAUACCCUGGUAGGCUCUG